rnacentral:tRNA from 1 species
GUUGGGGCUGGGGCUACAGUUGGUAGAGCGCUUGCCUCCCAAGCACAAGGCCCUGGGUUCAACCCCCAGCACCACAACA